CAUUCCAGGAAAGGCAUUAAUAU
rnacentral:miRNA from 1 species